rnacentral:lncRNA from 1 species
GGCAAGUCCAGAGGAGCUGACCCAGGGACAAAGUUACCUGCAGUAGUGGACAAGUGUACUCCGGGCACCCUCCUCCAACCCUUCUGUUUGUCCCUUACCUUGGUUGGAGACGUGACUGCAGUCGCAGGUCCAAGCCGUUAGCAGGGACAAGAAGAAACCAAAUUGCAAAAGAAAUUCCCGGACUUCGCAGCCCCCCAUGGCUCUGAGCUAUAUUGUUCAGAAUUCUUUUGUAUUCCUUCAGAACAUUGUUCUUCAAGAUAUAUGGGAUCGGGUUUCAGUUAAAGUACAAGAAAACAUGUAGAAGCUCUGAAGUACAAAACUGAACCCUGGUGACAAAAAUUCUGAAAGAUUUCGUACAAGAAAUUUGAGACAAGCUCUUGCUUCUGAGGUACAUCUAGAGAUCACUUUUCUUUGUCUAAAGUAUUAUGUACUUGGAUUAAUUAUAACAAAUAUGAUUUGCAUUGUUGAUCUCAAAAUAACUAA